rnacentral:misc_RNA from 1 species
GUGAAUCAUCGAAUUUUUGAACGCAAAUUGCACUCUCCGGUUUUCCGGGAGAGUAUGCCUUUUUAGGGGUCUGUUUAAAAAAUAAUCGAGUCUUCUCCUGUGUUGGCGCUUCGGAAUUGGGUCAGCUUCCACCUUUCUUGGUUUUAGGCGACCUAAAAUUUUUCUUACGAUUUCUACGGACGUUUCUAAGUAUUUUUCUUGUUCGUUCUCGACAUCGA